UGGCGAAUUUCUGUAUUGUGGGUGUUUUAUUUGUUCUUUGUGAACUCGCACCCGUUCACAGAGGCUAUUCCCGGUCUGUCCAAUAUAAUUUUCGUGACAACCAGGACAUGUGACGCAGUAAAUAAGGUUUGUUGUCUUACAUGUCAUAUUGGCGUUCACAUGAAAUUUUUUGCCAUCUUUAAAUGAUUUCAUUUUACCCGUUUCUAAAUAUUUCGUAUCUUGGCCACAAACACCGCAUCUUGAAUCUCCGCAAGACUUUAUUUCAAAGUCAUUAACCUUCGGUUCGAACCGAGCUCUGGUUAAGUGUUUCUUUAAGUUUUUAGGUUGUCUUCGGCUGUAGAUUAAGUUUUCUUCCGG
rnacentral:lncRNA from 1 species